rnacentral:lncRNA from 1 species
AGAUCUUGUUGGCAAUGAAUGUGAUGUAACUGAUGCCAAAAUGGAGAUUACAAAAAAAAAAUGAAGACUUGAAUUGGAAUUGGUAACACAAUAACACGAUAUGAGACAUGUUUAUGAUAACAUAUCUAGAGUUUUUUUUUUUUUUUUUCAUUUUUUUUUUCAUUUUCCUUUGUAAAGUAGAAAGAUAAAGAGAACAUAUUAUUGGCGUAAAAGUUUCAUAUAAAUAUAUUGUCAUUAGUUGUAUCUUUAUUGGUCGAAUUAUUUAACUUAUCUUAUAAUUAUAAGCAGG